rnacentral:rRNA from 1 species
GACGAACGCUGGCGGCGUGCCUAAUACAUGCAAGUCGAGCGGACUGAUUAAGAGCUUGCUCUUAUGACGUUAGCGGCGGACGGGUGAGUAACACGUGGGCAACCUGCCCUGUAGAUCGGGAUAACACCGAGAAAUCGGUGCUAAUACCGGGUAAUAUCUGAGAUCACAUGAUCUUAGGUUAAAAGAUGGCUCCGGCUAUCACUACAGGAUGGGCCCGCGGCGCAUUAGCUAGUUGGUAAGGUAAUGGCUUACCAAGGCGACGAUGCGUAGCCGACCUGAGAGGGUGAUCGGCCACACUGGGACUGAGACACGGCCCAGACUCCUACGGGAGGCAGCAGUAGGGAAUCUUCCGCAAUGGACGAAAGUCUGACGGAGCAACGCCGCGUGAGUGAUGAAGGGUUUCGGCUCGUAAAGCUCUGUUGUUAGGGAAGAAUCAGUACCGAACGAACUAGGUCGGUACCUUGACGGUACCUAACCAGAAAGCCACGGCUAACUACGUG